UAAGGAAUAUUGUUCAAUGGGAGAAAUCCUGAAGCAGCAACGCCGCGUGGAGGAUGAAGGGUCUAUGACUUGUAAACUCCUGUAAAGAAGGAAAAAAUUCCCAUUUGAUGGGAGAUGAUGGUACUUCUGGAGUAAGCCCCGGCUAACUACGUGCCAGCAGCCGCGGUAAUACGUAGGGGGCAAGCGUUGUCCGGAUUUACUGGGUGUAAAGGGUGCUCAGGCGGAUUUGUAAGUCAGAGGUGAAAUCUUACAGCUUAACUGUGAAACUGCCUUUGAUACUGCAAGCCUAGAGUAUGGAAGAGAGUGAUGGAAUAUCUGGUGUAGCAGUGAAAUGCGUAGAUAUCAGAUAGAACACCAAUGGCGAAGGCAGUCACUUGAUCCAUUACUGACGCUAAAGCACGAAAGCGUGGGUAGCAAACA
rnacentral:rRNA from 1 species